AGUAAUAUUCUGUGGACUCUGUAGAUCAAUAAUUAUUAAAAAAAAUUUUGAAUUUUGUCCUUUGGUUAGCUGUAACGGGGUAAUUUAGAAAAAGGGGUGUGGCCAAACAUACCCCAAAGCCUAUAAAACCUAAAGGAAAACUCAAAACUUUAUGAAACUCAGUGAAAUCAUGUAACAGGUGACUCUUAACAAGCAUGCAAAGUUUCAUGGAGAUCAGACCAUAGGUGGCGCUAUAACAGUAGAAAAGGUCUCAAAACACAAGAUUUAUAUGGUAAAAGGCCUCAAAGUGUUUGAAAAUGUUCAUAUAUUCACUCAAAAACACUAGAUCUUCAUAUCAUAUGAUAAAUCUCCUCAUUCUGAACAACUUUGCCUCUGGGACCAAUGUUGUCAAUAAAGCUGUUAAUUAAAUAUUCAAGAUUAUUUAAAAAAGUUACUUUGGCAUACUUGUGAUACGGUUUAAGAUGAAAAUCAAUAAAACCACUGAAGUACAAUUCUCUAGACUCAGAAGGUCAAUAAUUAUCAAAAACAUGUUGAACAAUUGCAUUUGGGCAACUAUAAACCAAUAAUUUUAUAAUAUGUUAUUUGCAUAGUGUACACAAAGGCCUAUUAAUACAAACAGAAAGCCCACAAAUUAUCAAAACUGUGUAAAAUAAUGCAUAAUUUCAUUCUAAACAAGCAUGCAAAAUUUAAGAGAGAUUGGGGAAAAAAAAAUAACAACACUAUAACAGUUAUGUUCAAAACCAGGGUUGUUUGAGUAAAUGCAAUUUAUAACCACUAGAUGGCAGCGGAAGACCACUAAUGGGCUCAUUCAGCUAAGUUGAACAGCACUGUUUUCAUGAAUUCUUGCCAAAACAUUAAUAAAUUAACUGUUAUAACAUUUUAAAUCUUACUGAAUCAAUGUUUUCCAUUUUGUUCAUACAGAUGUAUCAGUUUUUACAAUUUUGCCACAUUAUGAUUACAGUUUAACCUGAAAAUGACAUCUAAACUCUAAAAAAGAGAAGACUUGCAAUAAGUUUGUCACCUAUCACUUAUUUCAAAUACCUAUAUCUGCAACAAAAUGUGUGUCCAUGUAUAUGUGUGUGUGUGUGUGUGUGUGUGCAUAUGCUUAUAGAGUAUACAUAUAUUAGUCUAAUCAUUUACUUUCAGUGUGUGUGUCUGUCUGUUAGCCUGUUCUCCAUUUUGGAUGUGUUUAAAUGUCAUCCAUGCAUCCAGGUUGGCUCAGACCACCUCAGAGGCCUUAAUGUGCUUGAACCCCGGUAAAUGCUGCUUGCAGCUUUAAUUAUUAUUAGGGGUUCAAGCACGCAGUGCUGAAACCCUAUUGUAUCUGUUAGGAUUUUUAUUAUUAUUAUUAUUAUUAUUCUCCACUCAAACUGAUCGUGCAGCCCAAACCGUAAGGCCUAGAGCGCUGAAACUUGGUCAGAUGGUAGAAGUCCGGCCUUCUUGUCAGAUCCAAAGGCUCGCCCCAAUCGGCCUAAAGGGGGCGCUACAGUGAUCAAAAAUGCGUUAGUGCUAAUAACUCCUAAACCGCUUAUCAUAGAGCCAAAAAUUUUACAUUUCCGGAAUCCGUGGGUCAUGCGAAAUUAAAAACGGUCACUCUGAUUUUGGGUCUAGGAGGCCUCGUUUUUUCGCAAAUUUGACGUAUGUCCAAAACCUACUUUUGCGAACUAGUCCUAGGUUUUUCGCCCAAUCUGAACCAAACCACUGCAGAAAUGUUCUCUGGCCAGGGAAUAUCAAUAAUUAUCAAAAAAAAGUUGAAAUUUCGACUCGCUGUCGUAAUGGGAUGCCAAAACGUUCGAAAGUCGAGGACCAAUUUUACGCAACAGGCUAUAACUCGUGAAAGAAAUAAGAUAUCUUAACCAAACUUGCUACACAUUUGUAAGACCUAAAACUUUGGUCAAAUAAAAAAAAUUGCACACCUCUGCCACUUGGGGGCGCUAUAAAAAGAAAAAACACAUAAAUGGCUAUAACUAGGCUACCGUUGGCUCGAUCGACCUAAAAAUUGGUAUGCAGUGUCUUUGUCUGAAGGGGCACAAGUACCUAUGAGGACAUUUGCAUAUCUCAAAAAACAUGGCCGCCAUUGGCCAAACAAUUUUAAGCACCUAUUUGAAAGGGUUAACGGAUGUUGAUCGGAACGAAACUCGCUGGGUGCGUUCGACUCAUGAACCUUAAGGUCUGUAAGAAUUUUGAAAGAAAUCGGCCACUAGUUGGCGCUAACGAGUUUAUUGGCUCUGUAAUCACGUGGUGUUUCACUUAUCAACACAAUAUGCAUAUCAUUUGAUAGAUCUCCUCAUAAUGCACAACUUUGCCUCAAGAACUAUUGCUGUCAAUCAAAUAGUUCAAAUGUUAUUCACAAAUAUGUUAAAAACCUACUUUUACGAACUAGUCCUAGGUUUUUUGUCCGAUCGGAACCAAACCACUGCAGUAAUAUUCUGUGGACUCUCUAGAUCAAUAAUUAUCAAAAAAAUGUUGAAUUUUGUCCUUUGGUUAGCUGUAAAGGGGUAAUUUAGUAAAAGGGGUGUGGCCAAACAUACCCCAAAGCCUAUAAAACCUAAACGAAAACUCAAAACUUUAUGAAACUUCGUGGAAUCAUGUAUCAGGUGACUCUUAACAAGCAUGCAAAGUUUCAUGGAGAUCGGAUCAUAGGUGGCGCUAUAACAGUUGAAAAAGCCUCAAAAACACACAUUUUCAAUAGAAAAUGAUCACAAUUUGUAGGACAUGUUCAUACAUUCACACAAACACUAGAUCUUCAUAUCAUAUUAUAGAUCUCCUCUUUGUGAACAACUUUGCCUCAAGGAGCGAAGAUGUCAAUCAAAUCGUUCAAUUGUUAUUCACAAAUAUGUUAAAAACUUACUUUUGCGAACUAGUCCCAGAUUUUUUACCCGAUCGAAACCAAACCACUGCAGUAAUUUUCU